CCUACGGGAGGCUGCAGUGAGGAAUAUUGGUCAAUGGACGAGAGUCUGAACCAGCCAAGUAGCGUGAAGGAUGACUGCCCUCUGGGUUGUAAACUUCUUUUAUAUGGGAAUAAAAUGUUCCACGUGUGGGAUUUGUAUGUACCAUAUGAAUAAGGAUCGGCUAAAUCCGUGCCAGCAGCCGCGGUAAUACGGAGGAUCCGAGCGUUAUCCGGAUUUAGUGGGUUUAAAGGGAGCGUAGGUGGAUUGUUAAGUUAGUUGUGAAAGUUUGCGGCUCAACCGUAAAAGUGCAGUUGAAACUGGCAGUCUUGAGUGCAGUAGAGGUGAGCGGAAUUCGUGGUGUAGCGGUGAAAUGCUUAGAUAUCACGAAGAACUCCGAUUGCGAAGGCAGUUCACUGGACUGCAACUGACACUGAGGCUCGAAAGUGUGGGUAUCAAACAGGAUUAGAUACCCCUGUAGUC
rnacentral:rRNA from 1 species